GGCCAGUGAUGUGAGAUUAAUAUUUGCUACUCUUGAUGGGGUGCUGUUAACUCCAUUUGAUGAUUCUUAUCCACCGAGAUCUCUGAGGCC